rnacentral:rRNA from 1 species
CCCUUAGAUGUUCUGGGCCGCACGCGUGCUACACUGAGUGGAUCAGCGGGUCAGGUUGCGCGAAAGUGUUUCCUAAUCUUAAAAUCCGCUCGUGAUGGGGAUUGACGGUUGCAAUUUUCCGUCAUGAACGAGGAAUACCUUGUAAGCGCGGGUCAUCAUCCCGCGCUGAAUACGUCCCUGCCCUUUGUACACACCGCCCGUCGCUCCUACCGAUUGAGUGGUCCGGUGAGGCUUUGGGAUCUGAGCGGAAAGAGCGUUUCGCUGUUUCUGCCCGGAAAACUCAGUCGAACCUUAUCAUUUAGAGGAAGGAGAAGUCGUAACA